CCCGCUCCCCCCCCAGCUGGCAGGGAGAAGAGACAGUGCGAGCCUGCCAGGGCAUGCCACGCCUUAGGUCACGGGAGGCGAGUGGGUGGGGUGCGGUGCAGCAGGGCUCGCCCUGCAGCUGGGGAGAGGCUGUCUCCGAGCUGCGGAAAAUAGCUGGGGAGUGCAGCCGGCACGUUAGGCUGCUAACGGGCACGGGGAGGGUUUGCAGUGGAAGGGCAGGAAGGUAGUCAGAGUGCAGAUCUGUGCCAGAAACUGGUGCAGAGAGGGAGAGAGAGCGAGCAAUGACUCAACGCAAUAGGAGCCAAAAGCUGUUUUUCCCCUUGCUGUCUAGCAAAAGCGGCAGCAGGGACCUCUUUUCUGGACCUGCAAAGAAACUGACUUCCUCCUUGGAUUGUAUGCAGUGUAGUUGUAGCCAGGAGUGGAGAGAAAGGGGAUAGACCCAGAUUCUGCAUUUAGAUCUGCUAGCAGAGACCCCUGUGCGUGUGCAGAAUCCUGUUGAUUUCAGCAGGACUCUCCAGCAGUGGAUCCAAAUAUUAGAGCCAUGGAGUAGCUGCGACACUUCAAUCAGUAUAUACACCCAGGAUUUUUAAGGAGUGUCGGAGGGCAGGGCAUUCGGAGUAAAAUAACAAAUAAACAUGCAUCAGAAUUGGCAAGCUCUGUUCCAGCAAAAUGUUUAAAAGUUCACUGUAUAAACUCUACACAAUGGGAUUAAAAGGAAACAUUGACUCAG